rnacentral:rRNA from 1 species
GAUUAACGCUGGCGGUGUGCCUAACACAUGCAAGUCAAACGGGAAUUUAUGCGAUUAUAUCAAGUAAAUUCUAGUGGCAAACGGGUGCGUAAUACGUUGGAACCUACCUCAAAGUGGGAGAUAACUCCGCGAAAGCGGAGCUAAUACCCCAUGGUCCCGAAAGGGUAAAGCUUAAUGCGCUUUGAGAGGGGCCUGCGUCCUAUCAGCUAGUUGGUAAGGUAACGGCUUACCAAGGCUAUGACGGGUAGCUGGAUUGAGAGAUCGACCAGCCACAGGGGAACUGAGACACGGUCCCCACUCCUACGGGAGGCAGCAGUGAGGAAUCUUCCGCAAUGGACGAAAGUCUGACGGAGCGACACCGCGUGGAGGAUGAAGUGGUUCGCCAUGUAAACUCCUUUUCUGGGGGAAGAAUUCUGACGGUACCCUAGGAAUAAGCACCGGCUAACUCUGUGCCAGCCGCCGCGGUAAU